rnacentral:rRNA from 1 species
ACGGAAGGCAGCAGUGAGGAAUAUUGGUCAAUGGGCGAGAGCCUGAGCCAGCCAAGUCGCGUGAAGGAUGAAGGUUCUAUGGAUUGUAAACUUCUUUUGUUCGAGGGUAAAGUGAGGGAUGCGUCCCUUAUUGCAAGUAUCGAACGAAUAAGCAUCGGCUAACUCCGUGCCAGCAGCCGCGGUAAUACGGAGGAUGCGAGCGUUAUCCGGAUUUAUUGGGUUUAAAGGGUGCGUAGGCGGGAUGUUAAGUCAGCGGUGAAAGCGUGUAGCUCAACUAUACCAAGCCGUUGAAACUGGCGUUCUUGAGUGUAAACGAGGUAGGCGGAAUGUGACGUGUAGCGGUGAAAUGCUUAGAUAUGUCACAGAACCCCGAUUGCGAAGGCAGCUUACCAGCAUACAACUGACGCUGAGGCACGAAAGUGCGGGGAUCAAACAGGAUUAGAUACCCUGGUA